AUCUAGCUGACGAUUUUUAAAUAGGAUGAAACGUACGUCCUGGAU
rfam:Schistosoma curassoni strain Dakar, Senegal genome assembly, scaffold: SCTD_scaffold0000006